rnacentral:tRNA from 1 species
AAGACGCUAGUAAAACGGAUCAUUACACUGCCUUGUCAAGGCAGAAUUGUGGGUUUAAGUCCCGCGCGUCUUG